rnacentral:lncRNA from 1 species
AUUGGAAUUUUAGUUUAUAAAUUGAAAUUUUAGGAUAUGAAUUGAACUUUUGUGGAUAUGAGUUAAACCUUUAGGAUAUGAAUUGAACCUUUAGGAUAUUAGUUUAUGUAUUGGAAUUUUAGUUUAAAAAUUGAAAUUUUAGGAUAUGACUUGAACUUUUGUGGAUAUGAGUUGAACCUUUAGGAUAUGAAUUGAACCUUUAGGAUAUUAGUUUAUGUAUUGGAAUUUUAGUUUCUAUUGAAAUUUUAGGAUAUGACUUGAACUUUGGUGGAUAUGCGUUGAACCUUUAGGAUAUGAAUUGAACCUUUAGGAUAUGAAUUGAAAGUUUUGGUUUAUGUAUUGGAAUUUUAGUUUAUAAAUUGAACUUUUAGGAUAUGACUUGAACUUUUGUGGAUAUGAGUUGAACCUUUAGGAUAUGAAUUGAAAUUUUUGUGUAUGAAUUGAACUUUUAGGAUAUGAAUUAAAAUUUUUGUGUAUGAAUUGAACUUUUAGGAUAUGAAUUGAGCCUUUAGGAUAUGAAUUGAACUUUUGUGGAUAUGAAUUGAAAUUUAAGAUUGCAGGAGGAUUUUGUAGAAGGGGUUGAUGACUUUAUUAGACAUGCAAUGC